rnacentral:rRNA from 1 species
GACGAACGUUGGCGGCGUGCCUAAUACAUGCAAGUCCAGCGGGUUUUCGGAAGAGAACCAGCGGCGGACGGGUGAGUAACACGUAAGUAACCGAACUGUGAGACACGGAUAGCGAUUGGAAACGAUCGGUAAACCGAGAUGAGAUGGGUAGGAGGAAGAAACUAGCCAUGGAAGGAAGGCGAAAGCUUUUGCUGGCAGACGGGCUUGCGGCGCAUUAGCUAGUUGGUUAGGUAAAGGCUGACCAAGGCAACGAUGCGUAGCCGACCUGAGAGGGUGAACGGCCACACUGGGACUGAGACACGGCCCAGACUCCUACGGGAGGCAGCAGUAGGGAAUAUUCCGCAAUGGACGGAAGUCUGACGGAGCGACGCCGCGUGAGUGAGGAAGGUUUUCGGAUCGUAAAGCUCUGUUAACAAGGAAGAAGACAAGUAGAAGUAACUGUCUAUUUGGUGACGGUACUUGGAGAGGAAGUCCCGGCAAACUACGUG